AUACGGAGGGUGCAAGCGUUGUUCGGAAUUACUGGGCGUAAAGCGCGCGUAGGCGGUCUGUUAUGUCAGAUGUGAAAGUCCUCGGCUCAACCGGGGAAGUGCAUUUGAAACUGGCAGACUUGAGUACUGGAGGGGGUGGUGGAAUUCCCGGUGUAGAGGUGAAAUUCGUAGAUAUCGGGAGGAAUACCGGUGGCGAAGGCGACCACCUGGCCAGAUACUGACGCUGAGGUGCGAAAGCGUGGGGAGCAAACAGUAUUAGAAACCCCAGUAGUCC
rnacentral:rRNA from 1 species